rnacentral:tRNA from 1 species
AUGCAUCUGGUGUAGUGGUAUCAUAGUACCCUCCCAUGGUACUGACCAGGGUUCGAUUCCCUCGAUGCGCA